GUUAAGCGACUAAGCGUACACGGUGGAUGCCCUGGCAGUCAGAGGCGAUGAAGGACGUGCUAAUCUGCGAUAAGCGUCGGUAAGGUGAUAUGAACCGUUAUAACCGGCGAUUUCCGAAUGGGGAAACCCAGUGUGUUUCGACACACUAUCAUUAACUGAAUCCAUAGGUUAAUGAGGCGAACCGGGGGAACUGAAACAUCUAAGUACCCCGAGGAAAAGAAAUCAACCGAGAUUCCCCCAGUAGCGGCGAGCGAACGGGGAGCAGCCCAGAGCCUGAAUCAGUGUGUGUGUUAGUGGAAGCGUCUGGAAAGGCGCGCGAUACAGGGUGACAGCCCCGUACACAAAAAUGCACAUGCUGUGAGCUCGAUGAGUAGGGCGGGACACGUGGUAUCCUGUCUGAAUAUGGGGGGACCAUCCUCCAAGGCUAAAUACUCCUGACUGACCGAUAGUGAACCAGUACCGUGAGGGAAAGGCGAAAAGAACCCCGGCGAGGGGAGUGAAAAAGAACCUGAAACCGUGUACGUACAAGCAGUGGGAGCACGCUUAGGCGUGUGACUGCGUACCUUUUGUAUAAUGGGUCAGCGACUUAUAUUCUGUAGCAAGGUUAACCGAAUAGGGGAGCCGAAGGGAAACCGAGUCUUAACUGGGCGUUAAGUUGCAGGGUAUAGACCCGAAACCCGGUGAUCUAGCCAUGGGCAGGUUGAAGGUUGGGUAACACUAACUGGAGGACCGAACCGACUAAUGUUGAAAAAUUAGCGGAUGACUUGUGGCUGGGGGUGAAAGGCCAAUCAAACCGGGAGAUAGCUGGUUCUCCCCGAAAGCUAUUUAGGUAGCGCCUCGUGAAUUCAUCUCCGGGGGUAGAGCACUGUUUCGGCAAGGGGGUCAUCCCGACUUACCAACCCGAUGCAAACUGCGAAUACCGGAGAAUGUUAUCACGGGAGACACACGGCGGGUGCUAACGUCCGUCGUGAAGAGGGAAACAACCCAGACCGCCAGCUAAGGUCCCAAAGUCAUGGUUAAGUGGGAAACGAUGUGGGAAGGCCCAGACAGCCAGGAUGUUGGCUUAGAAGCAGCCAUCAUUUAAAGAAAGCGUAAUAGCUCACUGGUCGAGUCGGCCUGCGCG
rnacentral:rRNA from 1 species